rnacentral:rRNA from 1 species
GACGAACGCUGGCGGCGUGCUUAACACAUGCAAGUCGAACGGGAUCCGGGCUUUCGGGUUUGGUGAGAGUGGCGAACGGGUGAGUAACACGUGAGUAACCUGCCCCCUUCUUUGGGAUAACGUCGGGAAAUCGGCGCUAAUACUGGAUAUUCUUGCUGCAUCGCCUGGUGUGGUUUGGAAAGGGUUUCUGGUGGGGGAUGGGCUCGCGGCCUAUCAGCUUGUUGGUGGGGUGAUGGCCUACCAAGGCUUUGACGGGUAGCCGGCCUGAGAGGGUGUCCGGCGACACUGGGACUGAGACACGGCCCAGACGCCUACGGGAGGCAGCAGUGGGGAAUAUUGCACAAUGGGCGCAAGCCUGAUGCAGCGACGCCGCGUGAGGGAUGACGGCCUUCGGGUUGUAAACCUCUUUCAGUAUGGAACAAGGAUCCUUCUUUUGGGGGGUUUGAGGGUACGUGCAGAAGAAGCGCCGGCUAACUACGUG